GGGUUGUGAGGUUAAGCGACUAAGCGUACACGGUGGAUGCCCUGGCAGUCAGAGGCGAUGAAGGACGUGCUAAUCUGCGAAAAGCGACGGCGAGGUGAUAUGAACCCUUGACCCGUCGAUGUCCGAAUGGGGAAACCCAGUGUGAUCCGUCACACUAUCGUUAACUGAAUACAUAGGUUAACGAGGCGAACCGGGGGAACUGAAACAUCUAAGUACCCCGAGGAAAAGAAAUCAACCGAGAUU
rnacentral:rRNA from 1 species